UACGUAGGUGGCAAGCGUUGUCCGGAUUUAUUGGGUUUAAAGGGUGCGUAGGUGGUCUAUUAAGUCAGUGCUGAAAUAUCCCGGCUUAACCGGGAGGGUGGCAUUGAUACUGAUGGACUUGGGUGGAGUUGAGGUAGGCGGAAUUGACGGUGUAGCGGUGAAAUGCUUAGAUAUCGUCAAGAACACCGAUAGCGAAGGCAGCUUACUAAGCUCUAACUGACACUGAUGCACGAAAGUGUGGGGAUCAAACAGG
rnacentral:rRNA from 1 species